rnacentral:rRNA from 1 species
AAUUUGUACGCUGGCGGAUGCUUUACACAUGCAAGUCGAACGGCAGCACGGGGGCAACCCUGGUGGCGAGUGGCGAACGGGUGAGUAAUACAUCGGAACGUGCCCAGUCGUGGGGGAUAACGUAGCGAAAGCUACGCUAAUACCGCAUACGAUCUCUGGAUGAAAGCGGGGGACCGCAAGGCCUCGCGCGAUUGGAGCGGCCGAUGGCAGAUUAGGUAGUUGGUGGGGUAAAGGCUCACCAAGCCGACGAUCUGUAGCUGGUCUGAGAGGACGACCAGCCACACUGGGACUGAGACACGGCCCAGACUCCUACGGGAGGCAGCAGUGGGGAAUUUUGGACAAUGGGCGCAAGCCUGAUCCAGCCAUUCCGCGUGCAGGAUGAAGGCCCUCGGGUUGUAAACUGCUUUUGUACGGAACGAAAAGGCUUUCUCUAAUACAGAGAGCUCAUGACGGUACCGUAAGAAUAAGCACCGGCUAACUACGUGCCAGCAGCCGCGGUAAUACGUAGGGUGCAAGCGUUAAUCGGAAUUACUGGGCGUAAAGCGUGCGCAGGCGGUGAUGUAAGACAGGUGUGAAAUCCCCGGGCUUAACCUGGGAACUGCAUUUGUGACUGCAUUGCUGGAGUGCGGCAGAGGGGGAUGGAAUUCCGCGUGUAGCAGUGAAAUGCGUAGAUAUGCGGAGGAACACCGAUGGCGAAGGCAAUCCCCUGGGCCUGCACUGACGCUCAUGCACGAAAGCGUGGGGAGCAAACAGGAUUAGAUACCCUGGUAGUCCACGCCCUAAACGAUGUCAACUGGUUGUUGGUCCUUCACUGGAUCAGUAACGAAGCUACGCGUGAAGUUGACCGCCUGGGGAGUACGGCCGCAAGGUUGAAACUCAAGGAAUUGACAGGGACCCGCACAGCGGUGGAUGAUGUGGUUUAUUCGAUGCACGCGAAAACCUUACCUACCCUUGACAUGUCUGGAUCCGCAGAGAUGUGGAAGUGCCCGAAGUAGCAGAACACAGUGCUGCAUGGCUGUCGUCAGCUCUGUCGUGAGAUGUUGGGGUUAAGUCCCCCACGAGC